rfam:Thermoplasmatales archaeon I-plasma AMDT3_IPLC00002, whole genome shotgun sequence.
GCGGGGGUUGCCGAGCCAGGUUAAAGGUACCAGACUUAAGAUCUGGUUCCGUAGGGAUUCGGGGGUUCAAAUCCCCUCCCCCGCA